CACAUUUCAAUACCAAAAAUCCAACAAAAAUACUAUACUAUUCAUUUAUACCAAUAUUUCUAUUUUAUUUUUAUUUUUUAUAUCACACUUUCACACAUGUGACUUUCUUUUCCAUUUAAUUUUUUUUCCUUUCUCUUUCUUCACCAAACAGCAACACACACAGGACACAUUCUCAACCUUCUCAUCACUUGUCUCCGGCUUCUCUCCCUCACCACAUGUAUUUAGCGCCUUGCCACCUUCGUUAAGCUCACUUUUCCUCUUCUCUGCAUUGUGGAUUUAUUUUUCUUGACAUCUUGCUUUUAGAGUUUCAUCUUCAAUUCAUAGAAAAUCUGAUUUUAAAAGUUCACAGUCCGGAUUGAUAUAGCCUUACUCCGGUCUACAAUCUAUGACCGAACCGCACCGCCGCUGUUCUCCCUCGACCACAAUACAAUUGCCACGGCCGCUCUUCUCUGUCGAUCGAUUUCUGUUUUUCGCUCUUCUCCGUUGUUCUCUCUUUUCGGCAGAAAAUGUAAAUGUUCAAGUCUAACAUUAUUUGGAAAACGGAUGGACAAUGACAUUUGCCAAAGGAACCCAUGCUUAUUUGAUAAGUGAAUGAUAGUCUAUGUAUUUGGUAUUCUAGACGAUGAGGCAUUAAAAUGCGUACUAUGAAUUAUCAUGGGGCGUUGUAGAAGUAUUAACUUGGUUGCAUUUCUUUGAAGUGUUGGUGCUACCAUUGAAAGCUUUCUCUUUGUAAGAGGUGUGCAUAGUACUACAUGUGAGUAUACGUGCUUUUUGGCAUAGUGCUUCAAUUAAGCAAACUGGUAUAAGAUGUACAUGUCAAUCUGUUCUCUUUUUUUAAUGAAUGAAAUCUUCUAAAUCAUGUGAUUAAUUUUGAAUUGAUUCAUUUGAUUACUAUACAAAAGUUGGACUAAGAAAGAAAAUAGAUGCUCACUGAGGCCUUGAAGGAAUAAGGAUAAAAAAUGGGCUAAGCUCAUUGUAACAGUUGUCAUAAUAUUCUUGCAUUUUUAGGUUGGUUCAUUGAAUGCGGUGCUUAGAUCAAUCGACUUAUUUAGGAUUGAUACUUAUCAUUGGGAAUGCAAGCUGAUAAACUAAUUGGUUAACUCAAUCACAGGACAAGAUUCACCAGUUUGCAUGAAAUUUGUAAAUUAGUGGUAGUACAUGAUGAAUUGUAAUUUUAUUGUAAAAUUGUGUUAAGACAUGAUGAGUUGUAGUUCCAUUGUAAAGUGUUAUCAAUUUGUUAGUACAAGUUUGUAAAUUUUGUAUUUGGGUAUAAUGAAAUAAGGUUAUUUUGUUUCA